AUCCCUCAGCUCACUUCUGAUUUCAGCCACAGCUGAGAUGGUGAAUGGUUUGGUGCAAGCUGAGACUCACUUGCAUAAUCAAAGCCCCUCACAGGUAAAUGCAGCACAUCUCCUUACCUUCUGCACCAGGACAUUCUCCUUUCUCUGACUAUGGGAGCCUUCUCUGCACAUAAAUAAAUACCAUCAGGAUGCCCCUGGGGCAAUCCUCAACCAACAGGGAUGAGGCCUGUCCUUCAAACGAACCAUCUUGGGAGUAUUUCUCUAUGGGGAGAGCAGCAACUCUUCCUCCCUCUUUGUCUCACUCUCUCACACACGACUGGUUCCUCUAAAUCUCCUCCCCCACACACUGCUAUGCCCAAGUCCCUGUCUCAGGCUCUGCUUUCAGGGAGUAGUAAGAUGUGCUGGGUGCCUUCAUUGCCUCUCUGGAUCCACGCCCCAUGCUUUGCACCCUGGGAGGCUGACUUGUAUGGUUUGCAUCAACAGGCAUCCUCCCCCUCUGGUUUCUGGCUGGCUUCAGUCAAUGAGACAUAUGCAGGAAGCCAGGUUGGGGAAACAGAGAGGGAUCCAAGAUUUAUUCCCCCAGUUCCUUCCCCACGGUGUCCCCACAGGCUGGCUGCCUCCCUGGACCAUGGUCAGGCUCCUGUCAGGCCACUGUCUUCCCACAGCUGACUCCCUCUACAGGUUCUGGUGACUUGUGGAAGGUGACUGGUCCUGGACUCGGCCCCAUCCCUGUGGUUUCACUACACUCUGCCCGCCCCUUUGUAAAUGAUCCCUUUAUUAUUAAGCACUCUUCAAAUUACCCACUUCGAGUGUGCCUGCUGUAUCCUGGUGGGAUCUUGACACAAUUCUCUUUGUGCUCCAUGUCCUGUUGUAGAUGGAAUAAAUCAUGUUUCCCUUAGGUGACUAUAGUGGUUGCAAGAUAUUUGCUCCAGAAACGAUUUCCUUUUCCUUUGGCAACAGCCCUGGAUUUUUGUUUGCAGAAAUUCUUGUCUGCCCAGUGUGGUUCGGGUGGGACUCCAACCUCUGCUUCAGGGAUGGGCAUGUGACAUAGGGUUAAGCCCAUUGGCUUUUUGCAUCCCCCUGGACACAGCAAUUGGGUAGGUGGUGCAUCAUGUGACCUUGGAUAGACCAAUCAGGUUGAAGUUUGAACACCAGCAGGUGCUGCCUAAAAAACAUGGCAGUUUCUGGUCUGGAGCUCCCAUGAUCCUGCUAGAUUUCUUGGCGGUGACUACUUCACCUUGAGCUGAGCUGCGGUGUGGUGUCCCUGCCAAUUUAAAAACUACGUGUCCUUGGGACCCAGAUAGAAGUCAAUGGAGCUGGGCUGGGAAGACAUUUGUGACAGCCUCCUGCUGAACUUGGAAUUGCACCUCCCACCACAGAAGGCUUUGCUACCAGGUCAAGCUCCUCAGACCGGUCAUUCCUCACUCUUUUUUUUUUUUUUGACAGGGUCUCACUCUGUUGUCCAGGCUGGAGUGCAGUGGUACAAACACAGUUCACUGGAGCCUUCCAGGGUCAAGUGAUCCUCCUGCCUCAGCCUCCUGAGUAGCUGAGACUAUAGGCAUGCACCACCACACCUGGCUAAUUUUUUAAUUUUUUGUAGAGACGGGGGUCUUGCUAUAUUGCCCAGGCUGGUCUCAAACUCCUGGCCUCAAGUGAUCCUCCUGCCCUGGCCUCCCAAAGUGCUGGGAUGACAAGCAUGAGCCACCAUGCCCACUCACCACUCUUUAAGAGGCUUCUGGUUGCUCACAGGUCUGGUUUUUGGCAGUUCCAUUCCAUUGGCUCCCGGAUGUACCCAGAUUGGAGGCAAAAUCUUUUGAGAGAAUGUAUUUUUACUCUACUGCCAAGUGCCAAAUUCAAUCCCGGCUUUGAGUUUCCAG
rnacentral:lncRNA from 1 species